CAUCGACAAAUGGAAGAGCAUAGCCAAGGAGGGGGCCAAUAUGGAAGAGUUGGAUUGCUUAUUGGACACGGCCAUGCAGGAGUCCUCUGAAUUCUCUGCCUUUGUUCGGAACUUGCUCAUUGACCAGUCAGAGGUUUUCAGCCGCCACAAGAGUAGCCGUUCUUGCGGUAGCAAGAAGACCUCACCUUCCAGCCAAAGAAGAGCUGUUGCCAAGAUUGAGUUGGCCAAACGCAAGGCCCAGUAAAACGCCGCCCAAGAGCUGGUGCAAUUACGGUUAAAGAAAUUGGCCCUUGAUGCUCAGAUUGAAGAAGUCCAGCAAAAAGGGUAUAUCAAGUCCCUCGAGGCCAAAGUAGCGGCCAUUGAACAACAGGAAGGACAGGCUGAAUUCGGAUAAAAGACACGCUUUUGCCCAGGAAACAUUGACAACCACAUUCCCGGUGAAGUGGAGGAGAGCCUAAGGAACCGUGUGGAUUUGAUGGCCUAGGACCCUUGGCCUAAACAUGGAUUAUCUCGUCCUCAAUUACACGAGUCUCAGUCUGAAUCGUUCAUGAGAUGAUGAAACGGCAGGCUGCUUUCAGCCACCACAUCGAACCGUUCACGGGCAACCCUGUUCAUUUUCGUCAAUUUUGGAAGCGCAUCGAGGAUAUCAUGUAGAGGAACCUGCUUGAUGCUAAAUCCCGGUACAAUUGUUUGCUGGAGGUUGUUGAAGGGGAUCCCUGUUUACUCAUCGAGGGGUGUGGCUUCCUCUCAGAUGAAGAGUGCUAUAGCGAGGCCAAGCGACUUUUAACUAAGGGGUAUGGAGGGGAGUUGCUAGUUACAAACAAGUUCAUGGAGGAGCUUAGAGCCUGGCCUCCGGUGAAGGACCAUUGUGAAAAGGGUCUGGCAGACUUCUUUAGUGCCCUUUUGCGACGUUCGUCAAUUAUCAAUAAGGCUGAGGUAAAUGCCCCGUGGUUCUUGGGAGAUCUCUUGUCUAAACUAUCGUUUGGAGCGAGAAACACUUGGCAAGGAAUCACCACCAAAAUCAGACGUGAACCCGGUAGGCAAGACACCUUUAAAGACUUUUUAUUUUUAGACUUGGUUGAAGAUCUUUUAGACCGUGCAAGUGAUCCUGUCUAUGGAGAAGAAGCCAUGAAGCCCAUCCCACAAGUCAGUGCCAGUGAAGGACAGAAGUCAAGAGUGAACGCCAAAGCCAAGGUGAAUCCGUCCAAGCAGUUUAUUGCCUUUGCUGUCUCUACUACCCAGGUCAGAAGGGAGGAUCGUAGUAAGUGGCUUUGUUGCAACGAGUCACACGGUACUGACAAGUGCCUGGUUUUCAAUUCCAAGAGUUUUGAAGAGCGAAUGAAGUUGACUUGAUCCAAAGGAGCCUGCUUUGGGUGCUUACAAUGGGGGUAUAUUUCUAGAAGGUGCCCCAAUCGCAAAACUUGCGCUCUUUGCCAGAGGAAGCACCCAACCUCUUUGCAUUCUGAAAAUGUCACAUCAACUUAAUUGGUUUUGACUGCUGAUGCAGUUGGUUUGAAUGGCUCCGUGGUGGCCAUGAGUGUAGUUUGGGUCAAGGUAUCAACUGGGAGCAAGCCUGGAAGGGCCAUUGAAGGCCUUGCAUUGCUCGAUGCCUCAAGUUCAGGAACAUUUGCCAUGAGUAGUUUGCUGAAGGCUCUUGGAGUAUCUAGAUCAAAGACCCUUAUUGCCAUCCACACCCUCAAUGGGCAAAAAACGGAAAACACGGAAGUGAUCUUGGGGCUAAGAGGUCAAACCCCAAAUGGCAGCGACCAAGUUCUUUUGGGACCAACCUACUCGUGAGAAAUUAUCCCGCUCCAAGAUAGCGAGGUGGCUAGAAAUUCGAUUCUUUUAGUUCCCUUCAAUCGGACAUUUCCAACCUUGACAUGAGCCUCCCUAUAACACUACUCUUAGGAGCUGACAAUCCCUUCAACGGCCCUUCAACUCUUAGAAGUUUGGAUUGGAGACAAGGUGGAACCCUGGUCACCAUAUGCUGUGCGCACCCCGUUUGGUUUGUCAGUGAUGGGGCCCAUGAAGCCAAUAGGAGCCAAGCCUUUCUUGAAUAAUGUAGGCCUCUCCUGUCAUCGGACCAUGGCCCUCCCUGACAAAAUUGUUGGGUGGGAGGUCAUCAGGGAUGUCGGUGUGGCCGAGAUGUUGACCAACCUGGCUAGUUUGGACUUCUUGAAUCCCAAGCUUCCACCCUCACUUGUGGACAUGGUUACAAGUGAAACCCUCUCAAGCGACGACCUGUUGUUGAUGGAAAUCAAAAAAUGUCCAUCCUCAAGAAACUUACUCAGGACAAGCCUGUCAAGGAGGACUAUUUUCUAUUUAAGGGCGAUCUCCUCAAGAACAAUUUCGCCCAAGAGAUCAAACGCGAUAAACUCAAAGCAACUAUUCCUGGUCAAUCACACUACAUCCCUCAUCGUUGUGUGUAUCAUCCAAAGAAGAAGAAAACUCAGGGUAGUUUUCAAUUGCGCAAAUCAAGUGGGGGGAUUAUCAUUGAAUAAUGGAUUACUGACUGGCCCCAAUCUCACCAACCACCUCCUGGGUGUAUUGCUUCGAUUCCGCAAGGAGCCUAUUGCCUACACAGCGGACGUGACGAAAAUGUUUUUUCACGUGCGGGUCCCUGAGAGUGACAUGAACUUUUUGCGAUUUUGGUGGUAUUGGGCGAAUGACGAGAGCCAAGAUCUUGUCGAAUAUGAGAUGAUCGGCACCUCUUUGGAGGAAGAAUUUCUCCAGGCUGUGCCAAUUAUGCCUUGAAGAGAACCGCCCUCAACCAUGGCCAUGGUUUCACCCAUGACGCUAGAGAAACCGCGUAUCACAAUUUCUACGUUUAUGAUUGUCUGAGGAGCUCUGAGACCGUUUGUAGUUAAUUAAACCUGGCUUCUCACAAGCCUUUGGUUUCUUUGGCAGGAACCUCAAUAACCGCCUUCCGUCCACUCUGCCUCUAACAUUUGCUUCAAAUGAAAAGCACACAAGUUUUGAUGCCACUCAGAGAUUUAUCAGCGCCAAAAGGGUAAGUGACGCUGGUGGUCAUGAUAUGAGACCAUUAAUCCCAGAAGAGACCGUUCACAUUCAAGAUCCUGUGGAAAAGGCAUGGUCCCCAUUUGAUAUAUCGCUUUCUGACUUCUACAGUCGGGAAGGUGAACCGGCGAUUUGGGAUGGUGAUAGUCAGGUUAGCAUGAGGAUGGUGGAGAUGCCGUUUUCAUCCAUGAAAGGAUCCAGUUUGGCGAAAGGACUGCCAGCCUUUGCCUCUUCUUCGCACCCCUUUCUCCGUCUUUCAGAUCUCGACCCACUCAUUGGUGAAAGCUGUAUUGGGGUGCCUUUUUUCCUUGAGGCAGUUGAUGUACUGAGGCCAGACAGCGAUGAGUCUUUUUAGCUUCGGCCAUGACAAACAAUGAUACACCAAUCCUUGGAUGAAGUCUUCUCUCUCGGCUCUUGUUUUUCGGACGACCUUAAUUUUCUUCACUUCAGGGUAUUCAUCGUCAACUUGAAAUUGAUCUUGCUUCCUCUCGCCAAUGACAAGCUGAGUCACACAGAAAAUUAGGACCUUUCAGCCAGCAAAUGAUUCCGGUCCAGAUUUGUAAGACUAAGACCCCUGGAAGCAUCAUCAACCGGGUUAUCUUCAGUAUCCACGAGCCGCCAAUCCUUAGGAUCUGUUGGGACGCUGUCUUCCCAGCCUAUCUUUGCAGCACAGGCCUCUUGCAUUACACAAAGAUCAUUUCCAGAUUGUGUUCCAAUUAUGGCCAAUUCGACCAGGACCCGACGUUAGACCCCAACGAGGAGCGUUCGGCCCCUCAAUUCUUCGACCCACUCGCCACUGAAGAAGUGGAGUUAGGCCAAGAGGCUGUGUUCAAUUUCAACCAAGUUGAGAUGACGAACGAGUUGUGCGCGAGCCAGGCGGAGUUGGAGAUCGUUGGGUCGUUAUGGCAGGAUGCGAUUCAUCAAGAAAACCCGUUCGCCUCGGCCGACCAAAUCAAGGGGAUAUUGGCUCUCAAGCUGCAAGAGGCAGCAAAUUCAAUUCCGGUCAGACAUGUGGCCGAAAAGAGGUUCAAGGAUGAGGUCGCCCUGUGUCAAAGAACCUUGGAUAGCUUUCGUCGCGUUAUCCUAGUCCUGCAGAAUAAGGAGGGGUCUGAUCUAAUUGCCUGGAUUUGCUAAUUGCUGUUUCCAAGACUUCACCCAGUCGUCGCUCAAGCCGUCCCCAGACCCGCUCACUGAGACGUUUUCGGAUCUAGCUGACAAGUUUUCCCACUUGGCGGCCCUUCUCGAUUAUUAGCGGUUCAUGAGGCCCACUUUGAAGGAGCCAAAGGAGCAAUUUGAUGCGACUGCAAGUCAGAACGCCAUGACCAUGGUCCAAUUCGAUGCGACCAAGCUUAUCGGCAAACGAUUUGGUGGUGAUCUCCACAAGCAGAGUGUACUGCAGAACUUUUCGAAUUGAAAUUCAUCCCUGGGUGAACCUUGUGAAUGAAAUGAAGACUAUUUGUGGCUACAAUUCUUUAACGUUGUUCCAGAAGCUGAAGGACAGUUUAGUGGGCCUGGCCCACGUCACGGUGUCUAAAUAUUCUUGCGAGUUGGUCAACUCUUACGACGCUGCUCUGCAUGACCUUCUGGAAAAAUUUGAAGAUCCGAUUGAGUUGGCCGGCUCUUACAUUGCUAGUGCCGUUGCUCCUCACGUUUCUCAGCCAGAGCAUGCAGAGGCCAUAGGCCACGCUUUCAAUGUGUUGCGCAACAUGAGGGGCGUUUUCGAGAGGGCCUAAGUUGACAGGUGCGACUUUGCCCUAAUGAGAAUUUUCGUGACCUCAAUGUCGUUAGAGGCCCAGGCCUAAUGGAAAGGUUACAAGAUGGCCUAGAAGCAAGAGUAUCGCUUGAAGUGGGAAGGUGCGUUAAAGGCUGGUGAUUCCCUGCCAGAAUGGAAGGAAUGAAUGGUCGAGUGUCAUGAUCAGUUCCAGGCUUGGCUGAAACUUCAAACGGUCAGAGUGUCCACCCACAAUUGCCUCUGAACUCCCUCACGAGGAGUCUGUGUCAUCAGCCUCAAAUUUUGCGAUUGCCGUCCGUCAACCUCUCCAUGCACGUCAGGGUUCCAUUUUAUUCGGCCAAAGUCAUCGGUUGAACACAUGCCCAAGGGAUUAGCUAUGUCUCUCCAGCAAUGGAGUCAAAUGUGUUGGGCAAAAUUUCUUUGCCAUCGGUGUAUUCAGGCAUAUACGCCUGAGCAUCAUUGUCAAAUGAUCUGCCGUGUCUGUCAGAAGAAGCACCACAUUCGAAUGUGCCCGUCCAACAAAUUCAGGACACAGCCACUUGGACACAUUCAAGAUUGAUCCCGGGCAGGCAACCCUGGGAUAGGAAACAAAAGAUUGCGUAUGCCUGUGCCCAUGGAUCCGUCUGUUGCCAAGUGGGCCAAGACAUUGACCAACAAACUGCAAAAUAUCGAGAAUCAAAUCAACAAAGGGUCUACCAAAAAUGAGAAAUUCGCCAAGAGGGACAAAAAAACUACAAAGAAACAUUAGAGCAAUUUGCCCCAAAAUGUGAUACCAAAACGGUUUGUCAAAGCUAUGUGUAAUACCGAAAAUACA